UACGUAGGUGGCAAGCGUUGUCCGGAUUUAUUGGGUUUAAAGGGUGCGUAGGCGGCCUAUUAAGUCAGUGCUGAAAUAUCCCGGCUUAACCGGGAGGGUGGCAUUGAUACUGAUGGGCUUGAGUAGAGUUGAGGUUGGCGGAAUUGACGGUGUAGCGGUGAAAUGCUUAGAUAUCGUCAAGAACACCUAUUGCGAAGGCAGCUAACUAAGCUCAAACUGACGCUGAGGCACGAAAGUGUGGGGAGCAAACAGG
rnacentral:rRNA from 1 species